CCUACGGGUGGCAGCAGUGGGGGAUAUUACACAAUGGGGGGAACCCUGAUGCAGCGACGCCGCGUGGGUGAAGGAGUGCUUCGGCAUGUAAAGCCCUAUCGGCAGGGAAGAAGCAAGACGGUACCUGACUAAGAAGCACCGGCUAACUACGUGCCAGCAGCCGCGGUAAUACGUAGGGGGCGAGCGUUAUCCGGAUUCACUGGUUGUAAAGGGCGCGUAGACGGCCAUGCAAGCCAGGGGUGAAAGCCCGGGGCCCAACCCCGGGACUGCCCUUGGAACUGUGCGGCUAGAGUGCGUGAGGGGCAGGCGGAAUUCCUGGUGUAGCGGUGAAAUGCGUAGAUAUCAGGAGGAACACCGGCGGCGAAGGCGGCCUGCUGGACCGCGACUGACGUUGAGGCUCGAAAGCGUGGGGAGCGAACAGGAUUAGAUACCCUGGUAGUC
rnacentral:rRNA from 1 species